GCUACAGUGCUACUGGCCCAUAAUCAGGCAACUGCAGAGUCUUAGGGGGUUAUCUAAUGUAGUCUUGGGGUGGCUGGAUAGACUUCCCAAAGAAGGUGAUGCCGAAGCUGAGGUCGGAAAUUACGAAGAUCAGCUAUCAAACUUGGAAAUCAUGUCUUAGAGAUCAAGGAGCCAAGAGAUGAGACAAGCCUGGGUUCCUAGGUGAUAGGGUGUGGCUGUGUCCCCACCCAAAUCUCGUCUUGAAUUGUAGCUCCCAUAAUCCCCACAUGUUGUGGAGGGACCCUGUGGAAGAUUGUGCCUGCAGCCUGGCCUGUUGCCCACAGCGGUCUACCUGCCACACUGGGAAAGAUCGAGCAGAGACAGAGAAGAAAAGGAGGCUCCAUUUUUCAGGCUGCUCUCCCGCAGGCUCAUGUUUUGUGUUCAUGCCAGGCAGAGAACACAAAAUGUUCCAAUAAAUAAGUAUCAAAGGAUAAGUCAAUUGAGCUUCACUUCUCUAAUUGAAAUCACCGUGCUGAUGGAGUCUGUCUGUGGAAAUGAAAGGUGGCUACCAUAAUCUGUUGGGAGUUGAAUUAAUCCUCUGGGAGUGAGGCUGACCUAAUUACUCAGAAAUACUGGGCUUGCUUUCAUUCUGUGGAAUACAGCCAUGAGAAAGAGGCCAGCAUGCCAUUUCCUAAUCUUUUCUUGAAUUGCCUGAAACUCACCUAACAUGAAACUGAGAAGCCUUUUCAUUUGAAAGUGGUAUUUCUUAUGUUUUUUAUCUUUUUGCUUGAAAGUAUUCUUAAACUAAAGAAAGGAGAAACAGAAAAGGUGAAGAAGCCAAGAGGCUGGAGUUUCCUUUUGAAUGGAUAUUCAUCCAUGAAGCUGUUGAUUCUGUUUUUCUGUUCCUCCAGAUGUCUACACUUUUACCUCUGCUUGCCUGAUACAACCACCACCAGUCACCUCACAGAAUAACUCACUCCUUAAGAAUCUGAUCAGGAAUCAGCCUUCCCUGAUCACAAACACUGAGUUUAGAAGUCCCUCCACAGUGUCCCCCGUAACCCUGUGCUACCUCACUGCCUCAUAGUUUAGUGCCGUUUGUGUACAUGCCUAUCUUCGUCCAUGGAUCCAGAACAACUUGUAAAAAUGACUGUACUUAUCACCUUCAGUAUUCAAUGACUAAACUAUAAUUUUAACAUAUCUGGCAGAAUGAAUCACUUGGGGAUUUCUGCCAACACUACCAAUAUAUUACUCCUAAUUUGUAAUUAUUACUUAGCAUGGAUUAUAGUACCGGCUGUUGGAGAGCCAAUGUGGCAGACCCUAAGUGGAAUAAAAUGUCAGUAGCAGUCUAGGAGCAUAUAUUUAUUGGAAUAGAUCAUUCAUUCAUUUGUUCAUUAACUAAUUUGUUCAUUAAAUAAACAUUUAUUAAGC
ensembl:lncRNA CCDC26 CCDC26 long non-coding RNA